rnacentral:rRNA from 1 species
UACGGAGGUGGCAAGCGUUACUCGGAAUUAUUGGGCGUAAAGGGUAUGUAGGUGAUAGAAUUCGAUAAGCAGAAAUGGCAAAUAAUGUGUUUGCUGCAGCUUAAUACGGUGUUCUAUUUGAAAAUGUAGAGGUUGGCAGAAUUACUAAUGUAGAGGUAAAAUGUGACGAGAUUAGUAGGAAUACCAAGGGCGAAGGCAGCCUUCCAACAGUUUUGACACUGAUGUACUAAAGCAUGGGGAUCAAACAGG